UGUGAGAGCAAGAGCCCGGAGAUGGAUUCUGAGACACGAAUCCAGGCCCUACGGGGUGCAGCAGGCGCGAAAACUUUACAAUGCUGGCAACAGCGAUAAGGGAACCUCGAGUGCCAGGUUACAAAUCUGGCUGUCGAGAUGCCUAAAAAGCAUUUCAUAGCAAGGGCCGGGCAAGACCGGUGCCAGCCGCCGCGGUAACACCGGCGGCUCGAGUGGUAACCGUUAUUAUUGGGUCUAAAGGGUCUGUAGCCGGCCGGAUAAGUCUCUUGAGAAAUCUGGCAGCUUAACUGUCAGGCUUUCAGGAGAUACUGUCUGGCUCGAGGCCGGGAGAGGUGAGAGGUACUUCAGGGGUAGGGGUGAAAUCUUGUAAUCCUUGAAGGACCACCAGUGGCGAAGGCGUCUCACCAGAACGGACCUGACGGCAAGGGACGAAAGCUAGGGGUACGAACCGGAUUAGAUACCCGGGUAGUCCUAGCCGUAAACGAUACUCGCUAGGUGUCGGCCACGGUGCGACCGUUGUCGGUGCCGUAGGGAAGCCGUGAAGCGAGC
rnacentral:rRNA from 1 species